rnacentral:rRNA from 1 species
CCUACGGGUGACAGCAGUGAGGAAUAUUGGUCCAUGGGCGUAAGCCUGAACCAGCCAAGUCGCGUGAGGGAUGAAGGUUCUAUGGAUCGUAAACCUCUUUUAUAAGGGGAUAAAGUGUGGGACGUGUCAUGUUUUGUAUGUACCUUAUGAAUAAGGAUCGGCUAACUCCGUGCCAGCAGCCGCGGUAAUACGGAGGAUCCGAGCGUUAUCCGGAUUUAUUGGGUUUAAAGGGUGCGUAGGCGGCCUUUUAAGUCAGCGGUGAAAGUCUGUGGCUCAACCACAGAAUUGCCGUUGAAACUGGGAGUCUUGAGUAUGUUUGAGGCAGGCGGAAUGCGUGGUGGAGCGGUGAAAUGCUUAGAGAUCACGCAGAACCCCGAUUGCGAAGGCAGCCUGACAAGCCAUGACUGACGCUGAGGCACGAAAGCGUGGGGAUCAAACAGGAUUAGAUACCCGUGUAGUC